rnacentral:rRNA from 1 species
CAGCAGCCACGGUAAUACGUAGGGUGCAAGCGUUAAUCGGAAUUACUGGGCGUAAAGCGUGCGCAGGCGGUUAUAUAAGUCAGAUGUGAAAUCCCCGGGCUCAACCUGGGAACUGCAUUUGAGACUGUAUGGCUAGAGUGUGUCAGAGGGGGGUAGAAUUCCACGUGUAGCAGUGAAAUGCGUAGAUAUGUGGAGGAAUACCGAUGGCGAAGGCAGCCCCCUGGGAUAACACUAACGCUCAUGCACGAAAGCGUGGGGAGCAAACAGGAUUAGAUACCCCCGUAGUCCCUGUCUCUUAUAC